GAUGAACGCUUGCGGCAGGCUUAAUACAUGCAAGUCGAGGGACAGCACAGGUAGCAAUACUGGGUGGUAACCGGCAAACGGGUGCGGAGCACGUACACAACCUUCCUUUAAGUGGGGGAUAGCCCAGAGAAAUUUGGAUUAAUACCCCGCAAUAUAGUUGAAUGGCAUCAUUUGAUUAUUAUAGCUACGGCGCUUAAUGAUGGGUGUUCGGCUGAUUAGGUAGUUGGCGGGGUAACGGCCCACCAAGUCUACGAUCAGUAGCUGAUGUGAGGACAUGAUCAGAGAAACAGGAACGGAGACACGUGCCCUACUCCUACGGGCGGCAGCAGUAAGGAAUAUGGGUCAAUGGACGUAAGUCUGAACCAUCCAUCAGGCGUGAAGGAAUAAAGUACUCUGAAGUGUAAACUUCUGUAAUUGGGGACGAAAAGGGGCCUUUCUAGGUUAACUGACGUUACCAGAGGAAUAAGCACUGGCUAACACCGUGCCAGCCGCCGCCGUAAAAC
rnacentral:rRNA from 1 species